rnacentral:misc_RNA from 1 species
GAUGAAGAACGUAGCGAAAUGCGAUACGUAAUGUGAAUUGCAAAUUCAGUGAAUCAUCGAGUCUUUGAACGCACAUUGCGCCCCCUGGUAUUCCGGGGGGCAUGCCUGUCCGAGCGUCAUUGCUGCCCUCAAGCACGGCUUGUGUGUUGGGCCCCGUCCUCCGAUCCCGGGGGACGGGCCCGAAAGGCAGCGGCGGCACCGCGUCCGGUCCUCGAGCGUAUGGGGCUUUGUCACCCGCUCUGUAGGCCCGGCCGGCGCUUGCCGAUCAACCCAAAUCUUUUAUCCAGGUUGACCUCGGAUCAGGUAGGGAUACCCGCUGAACUUAAGCAUAUCAAUAAGCGGAGGA